rnacentral:rRNA from 1 species
AUGUGGAGUGGAGUGGAGGAGGAGAAUCGUCUGCACGUAUGCACUAGCAAAAAAGGGACCAAGCGAUGCAAAUGCAACCCAGAGGUUGCCAUCACCACAAAGGAGGAGGAGAAGAGAAGGCAUCACAAAUUCAGAACCCAAUUCAGCCAUGCAAUGCAAUUGCAAGCAUAUUUUAGCUCAUCAUGCACUGCGUCUGCGUGCAUGGGGAAUCUAAUCCAAUCCACCACUACUGAAAAGAAAAUGCCGGCCAUGUCCUUGGAUGCUACUACUCCUUGCACCCUCCACCUCCACCUUUUGGGUGGUGGGAUGGGAGAGAUUCCUCAGCCAAAUGCAUGCACACAUCCUCUUUCUCCUCUUGCUUGCCUUAGAACCUACCACUAUGAAAAGGUGGCAAAAGAUUACACAUCAUGUGGUGCUAUGGAUUCUCUCUCUAUCUGUGUUGAGGACACUAGGUGUAAAGUUUGUCUUUCCAUAAAACAAGUUUCUAAUGUUUCAUUCAUAUUCCGUUGA